UACGUAGGCAGCGAGCGUUGUUCGGAAUUACUGGGCGUAAAGAGCGUGUAGGCGGUGCUCUAAGUUCGGUGUGAAAUCUCCCGGCUUAACUGGGAGGGUGCGCCGGAAACUGGAGUGCUCGAGCGUGGGAGAGGAAAGCGGAAUUCCUGGUGUAGCGGUGAAAUGCGUAGAUAUCAGGAGGAACACCUGCGGUGUAGACGGCUUUCUGGACCAUAGCUGACGCUGAGACACGAAAGCGUGGGUAGCAAACAGG
rnacentral:rRNA from 1 species